CAUGUACUCCAUCCGUUCCGAAUUACUUGUCGUAGGUAUGAAUGUAUCUAGAUGUAUUUUAGUUCUAGAUACCAUUUCUGUGACGAGUAAUUUGGAACGAAGGGAGUAUGCA
rnacentral:pre_miRNA from 1 species